rnacentral:rRNA from 1 species
UACGUAGGGGGCAAGCGUUGUCCGGAUUUAUUGGGCGUAAAGAGCGUGUAGGCGGCCAGACAGGUCAGCUGUGAAAACUCGAGGCUCAACCUCGAGACGUCGGUUGAAACCGUCUGGCUAGAGUCCGGAAGAGGAGAGUGGAAUUCCCGGUGUAGCGGUGAAAUGCGCAGAUAUCGGGAAGAACACCGGUGGCGAAGGCGGUCUGCUGGGCAGUUGCUGGACACUGAGGCGCGACAGCGUGGGGGAGCAAACAGG